rfam:Nicotiana sylvestris Nsyl_contig269296, whole genome shotgun sequence.
GUGCUUUGCUAUUUUUAUUGACUUCAGGAUAUCGUGAUAUUGAGAAUUCAAUUAUGUAUAGCAAGGAGCCU